rnacentral:tRNA from 1 species
UUGUUUGUAGUCCAACGGUUUGGAUUAUUGCCUUUCAAGCAAUAAACCCGAGUUCAAUCCUUGGCAAAUGCA